AGCUUUGUGCAGUGGCAGUAUCGUAGCCAAUGAGGUUAAUCUGAGGCACGAUUAUUGCUAACUGAAACCCUUCCUGAGAAUGGCCAAUGACAGUAAGAGCCUAUAACCUCUUCCUUGUUCACUGGCACAGAGAAAAAGUCUGUGCUAGCAUCUUGAAACUUCAAACAGAA
ensembl:snRNA U4 U4 spliceosomal RNA